rnacentral:rRNA from 1 species
AGGACGAACGCUGGCGGCGUGCUUAACACAUGCAAGUCGAGCGGAAAGGCCCUUCGGGUACUCGAGCGGCGAACGGGUGAGUAACACGUGAGCAACCUGCCCUUAGCUCCGGGAUAGCUCCGGGAAACCGGAAUUAAUACCGGAUACGACCACGGCCGACAUCUGCUGUGGUGGAAAGGAUUCCGGCUAAGGAUGGGCUCGCGGCCUAUCAGCUUGUUGGUGAGGUAACGGCUCACCAAGGCGACGACGGGUA